rnacentral:rRNA from 1 species
UACGGAGGGAGCUAGCGUUGUUCGGAUAUACUGGGCGUAAAGCGCACGUAGGCGGCGCCGUAAGUCAGGGGUGAAAUCCCGGAGCUCAACUCCGGAACUGCCCUUGAAACUGCAGUGCUAGAAUCCUGGAGAGGCGAGUGGAAUUCCGAGUGUAGAGGUGAAAUUCGUAGAUAUUCGCAAGAACACCAGUGGCGAAGGCGGCUCACUGGCUCGGUACUGACGCUGAGGUGCGAAAGCGUGGGGAGCAAAAGGG